rnacentral:rRNA from 1 species
AUUGAACGCUGGCGGCAUGCCUUACACAUGCAAGUCGAACGGCAGCGGGGGAGAAGCUUGCUUUUCCUGCCGGCGAGUGGCGAACGGGUGAGUAAUACAUCGGAACGUGCCCUGUAGUGGGGGAUAACUAGUCGAAAGAUUAGCUAAUACCGCAUACGACCUGAGGGUGAAAGUGGGGGACCGCAAGGCCUCAUGCUAUAGGAGCGGCCGAUGUCUGAUUAGGUAGUUGGGGGGGUAAAGGCCUACCAAGGCGACGAUCAGUAGCUGGUCUGAGAGGACGCUCAGCCACACUGGGACUGAGACACGGCCCAGACUCCUACGUGAGGCAGCAGUGGGGAAUUUUGGACAAUGGGCGAAAGCCUGAUCCAGCAAUGCCGCGUGUGUGAAGAAGGCCUUCGGGUUGUAAAGCACUUUUGUCCGGAAAGAAAUGGCUCUGGUUAAUACCUGGGGUCGAUGACGGUACCGGAAGAAUAAGGACCGGCUAACUACGUGCCAGCCGCCGCAGUAA